GUAGGGGGUUCCCUAUUUUUGUUACUUUAGCAGACAGGAAUAAGUCCUAGGAAAUUUGUUACUGUUCUUUGUCAACUGAGAGGCCCCAAUCUUCUCAGUUCCACACUUUAUGGAAAAGAACCUUCCAUCUGAAGCUGAUUUACUCCUAGUCGAGUAGACAAACUACUUGCCAGUUCCUCAUGGUGGCCUGAUUAAAUUAUAUUGUAGCUGGACUUAGCUUUGGGGGGGGGCUUAUUCUGAAAAAUUAGAGUAUAUAUGGAAGUAACACUUACUGCAAAGUAUCAAAAUAGGAUUCUGAGGUAAAAAAUGAUGUUUUUUUUUACUACUCUUGGGAUCAGCUAAGAGAGAGGGAUCCCUACACUUGUAAUACUUUACCACCUUUCCCUCCUAACCAGUGACUAACACCUGGUGGUCUUAAGUAAGCAUUUCAUCCAAAUAUCGACUCAUUUUUUCUUCCCUUUCGGUUUUCUCAUGAGAGCAAUCAGAAACUAGUGUUUGCCUGGAUCUCAUCGAUGUGAAGCGUGGAUCUCAGCUUCCUCUGUAGGCACACCCACCGGAUUGCUGCUGCUGCUGUGGUCUCUCAGAUCUGGGGAGAAGCAGCCACCAGGUGGCAGCGCUGAGCCUCUCUGAGCCCGUGAGGAAACGUGGGUGAAUGUGGGGAUGGUCAGAUUUCUUUCUUCUCUCACUUCUCUGUCUCCUGAACGCAUGUCGCCAUAUCAUCCACCACCCAUCUGCUUUCUUUAGGUAGUAGUUAUAGGAUCGACGGGUAAGAGGGGUGAAUCAUCAGAUUCUGAUUCCCCCUUCCCUUCCUACAUUAGAAGUUCGUGCAACCACCUACCGCCUUCUGAUUACAUGUCAGAAGCUCCUAGACACGGGGUAAGCCAAGGCUUGCACCCCUCCCCCAAUCUAUGUCGAAUAACUUAAUUGGGAAGAACAGUUAUCAUGCCCAUAUCAUCUUGCAGAGGCGACAAUAACAGCACAGCUUUUCCGCUAGGCUAGCCCCUCUCCAACUUCAGAGAGCCAUGCAGAGAAAUGCUGCACCUAAGGACAUAGAGAAAUUGAGAAGGGGGAAGUAGAGAAGAAGGAGAAGGAGGAGAAGGAGAAGGAGAAGGGGAAGGGGAAGAAGAAGAAGGAGAAGGAGAAGGAGAAGGAGAAGGAGAAGGAGAAGGAGAAGGAGAAGGAGAAGGAGAAGGAAGAAGAGAGACCUGCAGACCUGCUUCACAGCUAAUUGAGACAAGGAAGGUAAGAGAGAAAAAGAAAUACCAUACUGUCCAUGGAGUUUCCCUUGAUGCUCCCAUGUGAUGUUGGCUUUGAACACAAACCCAGGUCCUCAUGCAUAGUCAAGUAUGCAUUUUAUCUGGUUCCAGAUGCUACUGUGAUGCCAACCGGAAUUCCCUGGACAGAUGAUCCCACCAGUGUGUCUUGGAGCUGUGCUUCCUCAGAGCCCUGCCCCACUAGGUAAAGAGAGAGACAGGCUGGGAGUAUGGAUCGACCUAUCAAUGCCCAUGUUCAGCGGGAAAGCAAUUACAGAAGACUUUCUACCUUCUGCACCCCAUGGUGAACCUGGGUUCAUACUGCCACAGGGUUAAAGGACAGGAAAGCUAUCAGGCAGGGAUGGGAUAUGGAGCUCUGGUGGUGGGAAUUGUACCCCUCUUAUCCUAUGGUCUUGUCAGUGUUUCCAUUUUAUAAAUAAAUAAAAAUAAUAUCAGUGAUAUCUGCCAUGUAACUCUUGAGUCACAGAUCACAUAGGCUAGGGAAGACAAUAAAUUCACUGAAUAAUAGAACUCAUAAAGAUCUCAGGAGAAUGGAACAAUGAAAUUAAUCUAGCAUGCAGAAUUCAGUAAGGUUACAUUCUCACGCUAGUUUAAAAAUACCAUUAGUACAGAGAAAGAGGGAAAUGUGUAUUAGUAAUACUCUAUGCAAAUUUUAAUUUUCUUUAAGAGUUGUAGUCUUAAUCAAAGUAAUAUUUAGUAUUACUUUGAUUAUUUAGUAUUUCUUGAAGGUUUACUGCCAGAUAAUCCCAUUUAAUUCUCAUAUUUUCUGAGGUAGACAUUAUAAUCCUUAUUUUAUUUUUGAUAAGACUAGUAAGUCACUUGACCAAAGUCCAAAAUCUAGUAAUUAUGCAUGACAAAAGUUGAACCUAACACAGAAGCUUUUACUAUUUGCAUCUUUAUAUUUUACAUAGAAAAGUUAAAUUUAAAAAAAAUUAGUUCAGUCUUGGACUGCAUAGUAUCAUAAUGUAUAGGACCAUUAGAGUUUCUGUGUAUGUGUGUGUGUGUGUUGAUUAGAACAUAUUUGCAGUAGUGCUUUCAAUUCUAGAACUGACAUUCAGACAGACAGAAACCUAUAGCUCUUUCCUACACUCAUACAUUACCCUUCCUUCAUUUUCUGGGGAGGAGGAGGAUACUCAAGGCCUCAUACAUGUUUUAACCUCAUAAAUGUCUCCUGUGGAACUCCAUCAAUGAACUCAUAUCUCCUGUAUCUCAACGUACAAUUUUUAUUCACUCUAUUUUUAGCCACCAGUAAAUUUAUUAAAAAUUUUCUCCAGGCUAAAUAAUUCCACAAAACCUCAUUUGUAAAAAUGUAUGUUUUUAAAUCUAAAAUUUUAAAGAAUAUUUUGUUAAUCACACUUCUUAAAAGAAUGCUUAACCACCACCUUACCUCCCAUCCAUACCUUCUUCAAUAUCCAGCUGUAUUGACCAUUCUUAGUAAUUGUGAAUCAAACCUCUUCUAGUGGCAACUAUACCUGUAAGACUAAGAAGUUGACAUGGGCAGAUAAGAAAGUAUACCCAUGGGUCAACAACUGUACUUAAAACCAUUAACCUCUCAAUAAAAUCAUUAAAAAAAAAAGUUGACAAAGUGGAUGCUAGUUGGGUGCUUCAGUGAUCUAAUGUGCGUCUAGAAAGUAUUCACAUUUUUUUAAGAAGCCUGAUUCUCAACAAAUACUGUGUCCUAAAUUUAUGUGACUUUAUUUAUAAUGAUUCUGUGAACCUAAACUCUGCAUGAUUUUACUGUGUAGUUUUCUCAUUUUCUUACCAAAAGAAAACUUGCGACUGUUUUUUUUUUUAUAUUUAGGAAAUAACUGUGGUGACUGUAACAGUAAUUAACUUAUUAUGGAAGUGUAUUGCACCAAAGUAAAAGACUCUGGGGUAGAGGAGGGGGGAGAAUUUGGGUCCUGGAAUGUGAUGGCAGAGGAGGACCUAGUGGGGGUUGAAUUGUUAUAGGAAAUAUAAAUGUAAUGCAUCUACAAAUUGUAUUUUACUAUCACCUGUAAACCAUUAAUCCCCCAAUAAAAAAAUUAAAAAACUUA